UACGUAGGGUGCGAGCGUUGUCCGGAAUUACUGGGCGUAAAGAGCUCGUAGGCGGUGUGUCACGUCGGCCGUGAAAACCUGGGGCUUAACUCUGGGCGUGCGGUCGAUACGGGCAUCACUAGAGUUCGGCAGGGGAGACUGGAAUUCCUGGUGUAGCGGUGAAAUGCGCAGAUAUCAGGAGGAACACCGGUGGCGAAGGCGGGUCUCUGGGCCGAUACUGACGCUGAGGAGCGAAAGCGUGGGGAGCAAACAGG
rnacentral:rRNA from 1 species